rnacentral:tRNA from 1 species
GCUAUUAUGAUCCGGUGUGGUCUAGUGGUUAGGAUCCGUGGUUUUCACCCACGUGGCCCGGGUUCGAUUCCCGGCACCGGAAUC